rnacentral:rRNA from 1 species
UACAGAGGUCCCAAGCGUUGUUCGGAUUCACUGGGCGUAAAGGGUGCGUAGGUGGCCAGGUAAGUUUGGUGUGAAAGCUCGGAGCUUAACUCCGAAAAGUCAUUGAAUACUAUCUGGCUGGAGGGUCGGAGGGGAGACUGGAAUUCUCGGUGUAGCAGUGAAAUGCGUAGAUAUGCGGAGGAACACCGAUGGCGAAGGCAAUCCCCUGGGCCUGUACUGACGCUCAUGCACGAAAGCGUGGGGAGCAAACAGG